rnacentral:tRNA from 1 species
AAAGGCUUAGUUAAACUAUAACGCUAACUUGUCAAGUUGUAAUUGUCUCUUAAAGACAGUCUUUA